ACUCGAAAGAUGAGGGAACAAUUCCCACAUGUAACAGUGUAUAAGUUUGUGUCUGAUAUACAGGUAUGGUGUUGUAAUCCGGCCUUCUGUUGCCUUGGAUCCUUUGAUAACUAGUUAAGUCAUAUUCCCAUUUUAAGGUUAAGAAGAAAACAAAGUGUUGUCUUUUUCAAAUUCUAGUUAUGGAUCUUAAGAUUAAUGAAUUUCUAUGUUGUAGUCGUAACAUUUUAUAACUCUAUUUGCAGAACUGGCACCCACUGGCAGGACUGAUGGGUGUUAGCUCUCUGGUAAAUGAUUGUAUCCCCCUCCUUUUUAUUUUUAAAAAAAAAAAUGUGCAUGCUUACUUCAUUAAUAUGAUUGUUCAUCUUGUUUUUCUUAAUAAAUGCUUUGGUGUUUAUUUGUCCAUUCUGCUGCAGCCAACAUUCCAUUUCUAUCAAAAUGGGAAAAAGGUGGGUGAGAUUUUUCCCAGCCGCUAUCUACAUAGGACGCCAGAUGAGAUUCCCAACCUAGUAUGGAUACUUGUGAAAAACUCUACAGGUAGUUAUUUUCUAAAUAACUUCACCGUUGCAUGCUUCUGCUGCAUAAUUGCGAGUGCAGUCUGAAAUUGGUGGCUGCCGGCUGAGGUUUUUGUUUUUCCUUUUCUUUUUUUUAUGGUUCAAGUGAAGUUCCCUCUGAAUGUGAUCUCCCUAUGUUGACACUGGAAGGUACGUCAUCCAGGUUGAAAAACCUCACCCUACGGGCUCAUCUGGGAAAGGGAAGGGCAAAAGGAAGAGUACUUAUCAACAACUUGUCGUGCAAGCUAAGACUGAUGCAAACGAAAAUGACAAAGUAGUUGCUUUAGGAGGGGGGAGAGCGGGUGAUGCAUCGACAUCAUCAGAACAGAGUGAUGGCCGUGUUGAAGCAGUAUAUAGUAGUGGCAGUGCACCUUCACUUGAUAAAGCGAUGAGGGCUGUAUCAGCUAACCCCUAUUGUUAUGAACAUAGCGAUCUGUGGUGGUAUGCAAAAGGGGUAUUGAAAGCUAACCCUCAGAAGAGAGCAACGCUACUGAAGGUGGGGACACGUGAGGUUAGUUGGCUACGAAGUCACAUGUCUGAGGAUUAAGUUGGCCUUGGAUUGGACCGGAUAGGAUGCGCUUAAAAUUUGAUACUCAUUAUAUUUAUGCUGUUCGCGUUGUGGUUCAUGACAGUGACUAUUAUGCUUGUUUAAAUUUGGUCUUAUGUUGUGCUCAUAUUCAGAUAAUCGUCAUACUACGAUGGUCUAUUGUUGGAUAUUUGUCAUCACAACUAUGCUGAAUCGAAUGAUUCUAGAACUCCCAUCCGCAACUAGUAAUGGCUUUGUAAAAGGGUCUGCAAUCUUGGAAUUGGUAUCAACAUGUUCAAUCACCAGCAGCCCUUUCUUUACAUCUUCUCUGACAAAAUGAUAGUUGAUGUCCAUCAAACAAUUGGCAGAAGAUUGCUUCUUGUUUGUGGAGAUGACACAGCAGUCUUGCUGUCUACAAUUCCAAUUUUAAACUCUCUAGAAGAGAUUGAGAAGUGGAAGUUUGACUCUCCAGUUCAUGUCUGAUAAUUUUUUUAACAUACAAUUUUCUAAUCAAAAGAGUGACCAGGCUGUUUUAUUGUUUACUGAGAGGUUGAAGUGUUUCACUCAAAGAUUUUUUAGGUCAAUUUUUGAACAGAUUUGAACUGCAGAAAAAUCCUUAACAACUUGAACUGAUGUCUCAGUAAAAUCCUUAAAAACUUGAACUGAAAUCAUUAUGACUGCAUAUAAUUCUUAUGUUUUUUUUUUGUAGGUUUUGACUGCAAGCAAAAUUAAUAUAUUUAGUUUCUCUCCUUCACCGUUGGAAUACUUGCUGGAUAAUCAUCACUCUCAAAUGAGAUCUGAAUCAAGGAUAAGUUAUAGGACUUAUGUUGUUCGCAAUAUACCGGAAGGCUCAGUAAUUUUUCUCCCACUCCCUUACGUUCCACCUAAUAAUGUCUUCCAUGGCUAGGACACUCUUGACAAGUUGGUUUUAUUUGUCAAACUUACUGAGUCUUCCAGUAUGUUGCAAACAACAUAAGUCCUAUAAUUUAUCAUUGAUUCAUAUCUCAUUUGAGUGAUGAUUAUCUAGCAAGUAUUCAAACGGUCUAAAAAACAGAAACUAAAUAUAUUAAUUUCAUGUGCAGUUAAAGCGUACAAAACAGUUCAAGUUGUUUCAAGAGUUCCCUAAGACAAAUUGGGAGAGUUCCAUCAAACAUUUCAUUUAAAGUUUGCUUAUGAGCAGUUGUGGCACCAUCAACAAUUGUAUCAUAAACAUUACAUUAACAACCUUCCUACCAGUACAAUAUAAAUGUUUAAAGUGAAAACUUCUAAAACCUUCUCUACCAUAUCUGUAUUUUCUGAAGCACUCCAGAACCCCCUUCACAAUAUGGGGUAUUUGGAUUCCUAAAUUCAGUUUUUUUAUUAAAUCGACCUAAAAUAAUCUUUAAGCGAACACUCCACAUUUUCAGUAAAAAAUAAAGCGCCUGGCUCACUAUUCUGAAUAGAAAAUUGUUUACUAAAAAUGGACAUUGGCUUGCCCUGAAGUCUUCCAUUGAUGUGUAACUCAUUGUGUGCACGUGCUUCAAUGGAAUAGUAAAAUAGCUUACUGGUGAUACAUCAAACUGCAUGUAGAGAGGCUAUUCAUAAAAAAAUAUAAAAUCUACAGAAUAUAAAAGUUUCACAUAAUACAGAUAAAAAAUAUAAGGUCCACUAGGAAACUUAAAAGUAAUACCUUGUUGCUGAGCUAGGGUAGGUUUGGGGUUUUGAAUGCAAAAUGCCUACGAGGACUAGCACACAUCAUCUGCUACAACAUCAAGAAUCUAAAUUCAAUAUUUCUCUUCAUUUUAUUCCUUCUCUUUUUCUCCUUUACUAGGGAGAGAGUUUGUGUGUGUAGCUAGGGGAGGUAGAAGGUCAACUGAGCUUUAUUUCAAUUGGGUAGCCUGUUUUGAACUGGGUAGCCUGUUUUGAACUGCUCAUAAUGAAUGUUGAAUGAUGAAUGGAUGAAAAUGGAAAUGAAGUUUCAACUUCUUUUUUUAUGGCAGAAAAAGAAAUUGAAACCUACUUGGUUUAACCACAUCAGAUUGCAAUCAUCCGAAUUGUGUUCAUGUUCAUGCAGAUUUUUGUAAUCUGAUAUAGUUAAACCAUGUAGGUUUAAAUUUUUUUCUUGCAUAAAAAAUAGUUGAAAUCUCAAAUCAAUUUUUAUCCUUCAAUCAUCCAAUAUUCAUUACGUCCAAAGCAGGCUACCCAACUGAAAUAAAUCUAAUUGACCUCUACCUCCCCUACCUACAUUCACAAACUCCCUCCCGGUAAAGGAAAUGACAUCUCUCCAGAAAAUGAAUAGAGAUAUUGGAUUUAGAUUCUUAAUGUUGUAGCAAAGGAUGCGUGCUGCUGUUUGUGCUAGUCAAUCAUUUACUUAAUUGAUAAUGGUAAAAUUUUGUGCAUUCAAUCGUAUAAAGUACAUUGCUCAAGAUCUUUGUCUUUCCUCCAAAAUAUGCAUCCACGCUAAAAAUGAAACUAUGUGCAACUCAAGUGACAAAGUGUGAACAUCCAAUCAUUAUGACCCCUAAUCAUUUCUAUGAAACUUUUAUAUUCUCAAGAUUAUAUAUUCUCUCCAUGCAAUUCGAUGGAUUACCAGUUUUAUCUCCACAUGUGCACACAAAACCUUGUUCGCGCGCUCUGCAACCGUCUCAGAUAUUAUGUUUUAUAAGGUGUUUCAUUUAUCAAAUCCCUCAACUUCCAUCCCAACAUCAUCAUAAUGGUUGACAAAUAUCCUUCACCUUGGAUUUGAAAUUAUAUUGAUAUAUUAAAUCAAUUUCAGCUAGGUAUAAUUAUGUUAUUUUCUACGAGUUACUUUAAUUUCAAAUAAUUAUGUUCGUGUAGAUAAUUGCAAUCUGAUGCGAUUAAACUAUGUAGGUUUCAAUUUCUUUUUCUGGCAUAAAAAAAGAUGAUACAUCAGCUCCAUUUUCAUAUGGAUCCAUCAUCCAACUUUCAUUAUAGGCAGUCCAAAACAGGCUAUAGUAAAGCCCAAUUGAAAUAGAGCCCAUAUGACCUUCUAUAUCCCUAACUGCACGCACCAACCCUUUCUCCCCAUUUAAGCAAAUGACCUAUGCAGAAAAAAUAAAAGACAAGAGAAGAAAAUGAAGAGAAAUGUUGGAUAUGGAUUCUUGAUGUUGAAGCAGAGGAUGCGUGCUACUGCUUGUGCUGAGCAUUUUGCAUCCAGAGUCCCAACCCUAACCUUACCACAGCAACCAGGUAUCAAUUUUAACUUUCCUAUGAACAUUAAUCAUUUCUGUGAAAUUUUUAUAUUCUGAAUAUUUUAUAUUUUUUUAUGUGUAUUCUCCCCUUCGAUGUAUCAUCAAUUUUACAUCCUAAGCUAAUUUCUUAUCCCACAUGUGCUUCAAUGGGAUAAGAAAUAAGCUUAGGAGAUAAAGCUGAUUAUACAUCGAACUGCAAGGAGAGAGAAUACACAUAAAAAAAAUAUAAAAUCUUCAGAAUAUAAAAAUUUCACAGAAAUGAUUAAGGUUUAUAGGAAAGUUAAAAUUGAUACCUUUUUGCUGGAGUAGGGUUAGGGUUGGGACUUUGGAUGCAAAAUGUCCAGCACAAGCAGUAGCACACAUCCUGUGCUUCAACAUCAAGAAUCCAUAUCCAACAUUUAUCUUCAUUUCCUUCUCUCUUCUUUUAUUUUUUCUGGAGAGAGGUGCUUACCUUUACUGGGAAGAGAGUGUUGGUGCGUACAGCUAGGGGAUAUAGAAGGUCAACUGGGCUUUAUUUCAAUUGGCCUUUAUUAUAGCCUGUUUUAAGACUGCCCAUAACUAAUGUCGGAUGAUGGAACCAGAUGAAAAUGGAGCUAAGGUUUCAUCUUUUUUUAUAUGCCAAAAAAAAAAAUUUGAAACCUACAUGUUUUAACCGCAACAGAUUGCAAUCAUUAUGAUGAUGUUGGGAUGGAAGUUGAGGGAUUUGAUAUAUGAAACACCUUAUAAAACAUAAUAUCUGAGACGACUGCAACGCUCACGAACAAAAGGAAAACAAGUUCAAAGGACAAUCUGAAGGCUAUCUAUCCCCACCCAACCGAAAGCUGCUUGGGUGCUGAAGUUUCAGCACGAGCUCUUGCUUACACUCAAUUCUAGGGUGGACACGUGUCCAAUUUUUGAUUUUUUUUAAUCAAAAAUUGAACUCGUGUUCACCCAGGAUUGGGUGUAAGCAUGGGUUCCUGCUUAAACGUUUAGCAACCAAAUAUUUUCUCCUUUUUAUGCACAUCACCCAAUUACACGUUUAAGCUUCCAUUUUCCUGUUAUUCUGAGGGCAAUUUCGGAACACAAAUUAACACGUUUACUAAAAUGUUUGAUGGAACUCUCCUAAUUUGUAUUAGGGAACUCCUAAAACAACUUGAACUGUAAUCAUUGUGUGUAUGAAUAUAAUUCUUAUGUGAUUUAUGUAUUUUUGGUUAUUUUUAUAGGCUUUUAUUGCAAGCAAAAUUAAUAUAUUUAGUUUCUCUUUUUUUAGACCGUCUGAAUACUUGCUGAAUAAUUUGAACAGAAUAAGGAAACAAAACUUCACCGUAUUCAAAGAUUAACAAACAAAAUUAUGCAACAAAGAAACCCCAAAAAGAAAAUAAGAAGCCAAAAUAAUUUUAUCGAAGAAGUUAUUUAAAUAUUAAUUUGAUGCAUUCCUGUAGCAAAAUGCUUAACUCAGAAAAAAAAAAAUCAAACUUUAUCCAUGCAUUUAGAGUUGAAAAUUAUAUCAUCAUUUAAGUCUAGGAUAGGUUCUUCAUAUGUCAUCAAAACGGUUCCAGUUCCCAUGGUCCACAUGUAUAUUCUCAGUUCUGAUCCAGGGGAUUAAUUCUUUUCUUUUUUUUCUGGGAGCAAGUAUGCUUAGUCCGACAUCUCCCAGUUCUUAUAAAAUCAGUUUGAGGUUGCCAUCACAGCAUAUCGAUAAUACAUGAUAAAUGAAAUGUAUUCGAAUCUGUAAAUGUUGAGCCAAGCAAAAGCUGAAGAAAGAGCUUUACCUUCCUGAUUUGCAGAUGCCGAAACUUUGAAGCGUAUUUUUGUACGUUUGGGACCUCUGGACCAGCAGCUUAGGGCGUUCCUUCUCUCGGCUAUACACUGAACCCGAAUGUCCUGCACAAAAUGACAAAAAAAGAAAUGCUGAGAUCUGCGAAGACAGAAGAUAAAGUCAACUAUGUUUUGCAGAUAAGUACCAUAACUUGUCAAAAUAAGGGUUUUAUACCUUGUGUUUGCUCGGAUCUGUGAUCUCCGAGAAGAUAUCUUCUCCUUUGUUCUGUGCAGACCACAAAUAUGGAAUUUUUUCCCCUACAACACAAACCGUCAGCCUUAAAUUUAGUUUAAAUCCGUGGGGUGUCCAAUACAUGCAUUGUCAAAUAGUACCGAUCGUGUUCUACAUUAGAAGAUUAAAUGAAAGCGGGGUCCAUUUUUAUGUACCUGAGGUGUAGAUCGGCUAAGAUUGCAAGUUUGGGGGCGCUGGAUGACCUCUGUGCUCUCGGAGCUGGCGGCUCGUGGUAGUUUUUCUUGCUGUUUGUCAGAUAACCAUACGCAUGUGUUAGAUCUGGCUACAUUUCACUAAAACAACUAACUCUGAAACGAAAAUAACAAGAUUUUAGGAGGGUUUUACCUUCAGCAUCCCAAUUUUUCAUGCUUUCCCCAUCACGACUGGCCCGCUGGGUACUCACGGAGGUGUGUAUGUUGCUGGGUUCUUGGCUGCGAAAAGGAUGCAGGGCUUAGACGGAGCUGCUGUGAAAUGGAUGGUUUGUAUGAAUGAGCGCUGCUUGAGGUUGGAGAAAUGAGCGCAAUUUCUGAUAUUAAAGAGAGAGAAGGCGCCGAGAGAUGAGAGACAUCUCUCAUGUUCUAAACAGAAGUGGCUGGAGGCUUGAAGGAGAAGUCCUCAGAUCAGAACAGAGACGCUAGGGUUUCUAAAAACAAUCAGAAAUGAAAUGAGCGGUCGCGCAGCAUGUGUUAGUCACUAUAUAUGGGAAGAGGCUAAUUUGAAAUGGAGAAAUAAGGAGUCGUUCGGCUCUGAGCUCGAGGAGGAAAGAGGACGAAUUAGGGUUGCGAAAUGGGAACCAGCAGCAACAAUAUUAAAAUAAAAAUCUUGCCAGAGGCCUUGCACUACAAUCCAGCCCAUUGAUUUUGGUAUGCUAUUGGACCUAAAUUUUGGGGAUUGGGUUCAGCCCAAAAGGUUUCUCAUCAUUUCAGCAUGUGAUUUUUCCAAGGUCCAAGCCUUGUCACGCACAUGAUAUUUCCAAAAUAAGCCCCGGUGUGUUCAUUUCCUCUAGUUAUAUAUUUUUUUUAAGAAAACUAAUGAAAAAAGUUUGAAAACUUUGAGUUUUAAUAAUAAGGACAAAAUAAAUGAUGAAGUGAAUAAUAGCAGGAUUGACUUUUUCGUGUAAAAAUAUGGUUUUUCGUUAAAGUGAACAAUACUGGGAGCUUUUCGUUAAAGUUCUCUUUUUUGUUUUUUUAGUUUUUCAUAUAUAGUUUGUUUAGUUCAUGUUUUAUUAUAUUUUUAUUUAGUUUUCACUUCUUUUUGUUUUGUCGUUUUUUUUUUUAGAGUUAGUUAAGGGUUAUGUAUUAUUUCUCUUUGGAUUGUUUUAUUUGUCUUUUGUUUAUUUUUUUCACAUCUUAAGGACAAUGGCAAUCCUCUUGAGUUUUUGUGGGGAUGAUUUCAAGAUUUGAAUGUAUUCCUUUACUUAUCAUCGGACUUGUCUCGCCCUCAAAUCUACCGUAGGGUGUCAGUUAGUUUGGUCAAGUUAGUAUUUUAUCUUAUAUUAAAGUCCCUUAAAGUUUCUUUGGAUAAAAGACCUUUCGAAUGUUAUCUCAAAUGUCAUCUUUAACUAUUCUUAAAUUUAUAAUAAAACCGUUAUGUUUCAUGUCAAAAGAACAUAUUAUUGGAUGUCAAAUUUUAUAAUUUCUUUUUUUUUCAACCUAUCUUUAGUUUUAUAAUUAAUAACUAUGUUGUUAAUAUUAUAGUUGGUAGAAUGAUAGCUUUUGCGGAUAUGAUUUUUAAAUUAUAAUAAAGAUAAUAAACAUGUCUAACAUGCAAUAAUGCAUUAAUUAUAGAUGAGAGAACAAGUAAGUUCCCUUCAAGAGGAACACAAACAUUAUCCAUAACUUGAAACACCUACUAUGGUUAUUUAAUCAUACGGCCUAAUGAUAUUUUUUUUCAUUUGUAAGCGAGAAGUCUUAAAUUUGAUUCUCGUUAAAGGGCGAAGGUUAACCAUAUUAUUAUAGCAAACUUAUUGUAAGACUUGUUCACUUUCCUAUCAGCUUAGUUUCCAUACUAUUGUUUGUUAAAAAAAUACACUAAAACAUUGCAUCCAGUUCUGUCGGUGCAUUGUAAAAUUUCUGAUUACAAAGUGACAAAUUUGAGCACAAAAUGAGAGCAUUAAAGUUCGAGUCUGGUAGUUAAUUAGAGCAGUGAAUACAAGGCUGAAAAUGGUCAAAAGCAUCACAUGUAAAUUGCCCUACAUCACAACAAGUGUCGCAUAUUUUAGUUAAUACCGUUUGUCCAUCUCUCAUUUUAUUUAAAGAAAAAAUAAUGAAAAAUAUUUGAAAGCUUUAAGUUUUAACGAUAAUGAUAAAAUAAAUGGUAAAAUGAAUAGUAUCAUGAUUGACUUUUUCAUGUAAAAAUAUAUUUUUUCUUUAAAGUAAACAGUACCAUAGAAUCGUUUAAAGAGCCUCUCAGCUCAAUGAACUUUACUGAGCCUCUCUCCUUUUAUUUUAAGGAAAACUAAUGAAAAUGGCUUGAAAAUUUUAAGUUUUAACGAUAAGGACAAAAUAAAGGGUAAAGUAAAUAGUACCAUGAUUGACUUUUUAAUGUAAAAAUGUGAUUACCAGGAUUGACUUUUUAAUGUAAAAAUGUGAUUUUUUGUUAAAGUGAACAGUACCAGAAUUGACAUUUUAUUCACAAAAAUUGUACUUUCGAAUAUUUACACGAGAUGUGAUGAGAUUGAUUAAAAAUCUUUUUAGGACUUCAAAAUAAAAUUAUCUUUGAGUUACUCUUAUAAUACAACAUAUCUCUCAUUACAUGUUUAACCCUAUCAUGCCUGGAUCUAGAGAUGACAAAUCAACCUAUUGGGUUGUGAAUGAGUACCUGUUAAGAUCCGUUUAAUUUUAAAUCACCAUAAUAUAAAGGUGAGAUUGGUAAUGAUGGUAAUAAUGUAAGGUGAAAUCAAACUAAAUGAAUCUUAAUAUGUACACAUUAACAAUCUAAUAAGUCGAUUUGCCACAUCUGCUUCCGUAUCAUUUGUUUCGAGGUUAAAUUGGAAACACGAAUUAGUUCGUGUCUGGCCUCCAAUUGCAGAUGACACAUCUAAUGAGGCAUUUGAUUGAGAGACAAUCAUCCCAAACUUUCAUUUUGUUUCCAUUUUUACCCUCCCACUCCAAGCACUAAAUAUCGUAUUUAUUAGUAUUAAAUCUGUUAUUCAUUCUCUAUUUUCUUUUAAAAAAAAUAUAUUAUUCUUUAUUCGUGAGCGAACUAAGUAAUGAAUUUAUUGUUAUCCAUAACUCACGUCAACUACAUUUUAUUAAAAUGACUUAUAUUUAAAAUAUGUACUCGUUAGAAUUAGUAUUGCUUGUUGUCAAAGAAUGUCUUUGUAAUCAUUAUAUUCAAAGCUAUGUGCUUAGAUGUUUUCAUCAAGAAUGAAAUUUCUUUGGCUUUGGCGUACCAUGUCAAUCCUCUUGAGUUUUGUGGGGAUGAUUUCAAGAUUUGAAUGUGUUCCUUUACUUAUCAUCGGACGUGUCUUGUCCUCAAAUCCACCGUAAGGUGUCAGUUAAUUUGGUUAAGUUAGUAUUUUAUUUUAUAUUAAAGUUUCUUUGGAUAAAGGACCUCUCGAAUGUCUUCUUUAACAGUUCUUAAAUUUAUAAUAAAACCCCUAUGUUUCAUCUCAAAAGAACCAAUUAUUGGACGUGAAAGUUUGUCAAAUUUGGUGUUAUAUUAGAUAAACCGUAAUAUUCUUCAGUGUAAUUAGGAUUGAUUAAUAAAUUGACUAGCAUGGGCACAAGUUUUUUUUUUUAAAUAAUUAGAUAUAUGUUAGAAUUACAUGUAGAAGAGGUUUUGAAAAGAAAAAAAAGAGCAAAUUUUAGUUAUGUAAAAUUACAUUUCUACCAUAUAUUUCUUAUUCAUGUUAUGUUUUAAUUAGAGGGUUAAACUGAUAGUUUCAUAGAAUUUUGGUUAAUAAUAAAUGUUUUAUUAAUUACUAGAGAUAGUAGAAAUAAGUUAUAAAUAAAAAAAAAGAGGGUAUUUUCGACAGCACCGCUACAGUACCAGCCUAAUUUGCUAUUCUCCACAGACCCAAAAUAGGAAUAUCAGCAAACCUCCGAAACGCCGCGUUUAGUACGUUCCAGGGGGACCGAGCGCAGCGCACUUCACUGGGCGUUUCAGGUUCUGGCGGGCACGAACGAAACGGCGAUUGACGUCGUACCUUCCUUGGCGCCCAAACGGUAAAUCAAUCGUCGUUUUCGGCAAUUUGGGGCUUGGGGUUUUUUAGAGGGAGUGAAAUGAAAUUGAAUAACUUGCAGACGAUUUCAGAUUUUGAUCCCAAAAUUCGAAGCUGCAUUGGGCUCUGGCGCCUUCUUCUUCUCCUUCCCAAUUACAGUCGUCGUAGCUUUCGCAUUCAGAAAUCGAAUUAUUGGCGCCGCAAAAACUUCCAUCUGAUUGUUUCUUCUUCCUUUCAAAGGUGAGCACUUUGCUUUGCAUCCACAUAUUUGAGUUUGCUUGUUUUCUUUGAAUUUUGAGUUUUUUCUUCUUCUAAAUGUUGAAGAAUUCAUAUGAGUGACUGUAGCAUUGAGCUGAGUGAUCUGUUUGGAGAGUCAAUGAAUGUAAAAUUGUGAUUUUUUUAAUUUAAUUUCUAAUACUCGUGUUUUUGGUCAGUGUGAAAUUCGAACACUUUCCGCUAUCUGGCAUGGUGGUGGCAAAGGUGUUUGAUUGUCGUCACGGAGAUUGUCAGGAACUUGAAGGGUCAGCUGCAUUGGGUAUUGUUUGUCCAAAAUGUCUUCAUCUCCUGGCAAAAAACCAGAGGCUAUAUGUAUAUAUCUACUCUUGUGUAAAUGAUUAUUCUGUUAAUACAAUUGAAAACUUACAGAGGACGUUUUCUGUUUCUAUAUGGACCUCUUUGCAUUUGAAGAUUUCUUGCUUGAGCAGAAGCGUAAAGAACAAGAGACACUUGUGAAGGAGCAAGCUGAGAGAGAAAGGCAAGCAGAAGAGCAGAGGCGAAUUGAAGCGGUGAAGGCAGCAAGUGACGCUGACAGAGCACAUGCAAAGGCAGAGAUCUUAAAGAGACGACAAAUGGUGCAAGAGUUGAUAAAAAAAGGCUGCAAGAUCUGUUCAAGACGUUUGGCACAUAGAGUCUGGAGAGUUUAAAGGCGAGGACUUGGUGAAGUUAUGCUAUAACCAAAGCUCAGGUCCUCUUGCUAAUGCUAAGGAACUAUGGAUUCAUGGGCGGCGUAUUGGUUGGAAUGAUGGAUUGUCAAUUGUAGAAAGGCUCCGUAGCUCUGAGAGAAAGGAUGGUGACUGGUGGUAUGCCAAUGGUACGUAUGUGCAUUUUUGUAUUCCUGUCCUGUCUUCCUCGAACAUGCAUAAAAUGUUACAAUUUGCGGGAGAUGGCUAUUCCUUAUCGUUUGUUUUCAUUCCUUUACCAAUCUGAGAAUUAUGAGAUAAUUUUCUGUUUGUUGCCGGCAUAGCAUGUUGUAAAAUCAUCCUUAUUGUCAACUUUAUUUCUUGUAGUUAUUGUACCUGAUCAAGCUGUUGUCUUGGAGGAGUCACCAAUCAACAUGGUGCAUAUUUCUGUUGAAAUGGCCCCCAUUGCAAGGGCAAGCUUGUGAGCAUACACAUUGUCAGUGUGUACUUGCUUGCACGUAUAGACCCUACUGGUAUUGUUCAUUCCUUUUUCCCCCUCCAUUAUUCAUAACAUUUAUUCUAGGUUGGCGGUCUUGGUGAUGUGCUUACGAGUCUCUCACGUGACGUGCAAGACUUAAAUCACCACGUCGACAUCAUUCUUCCAAAGUAUGACUGUUUGAACCUUAGCAGUAUAAGUUUUUCUGCUGUUGCUUUAUUCCAUAUAUCUUAUAUGCUCUUUUACCCUCUUUUUCAUUAUGCCAUUGAGAAUUGGUCUUUUGUUCCUUCUUUUUUUAUAUUCUGUAAUUUUAGUAAAAAAGUGUGCUCAUUCUAGGUCUUAUAUCUGGCAUUUGCCUGCCUAUUUUGGAGAUGAUUAUUGGAUGUUUUUUUUUGAAACACAGAUUUUUUUCUCUUUCUUGUUUUUUACAUUAUAUUCUUUCUGAUUCAUGCAUUUAGUUGUUCUUAUUCAACAUGAGCUUCAUAAUAAUUUGGUUUCUAAAUUGCUAAAUGUCUGUGUUCCGAUACAGGCGAUCUAGUUUCAGUGUGACAGAGCAUGAGUUUCAGUGGAUGUAAUUUAGCACUUUUUGCAUUAUGUGUGUGUGUGUGUGUGAUUUUCGAAAUUGCACAUUUUUAUGUGGAUUUCAAUAUGUUGUGUUGCCGUUUUCUUAUAUAUUUUCUAAAUUAGUGCCGUCAGUUCUAAAUCUCUUUAAUGGCAUAACAGAUGCAAACAGAAUGCACUCGUAUUUUCUCAUUUGUGGGUUGCCAGAGUCUUGACCUAUGGUUUUAAGUACGAGUGUUUAGAAAUUGUUUGAAACCUGGGUCGGAUGCGUGAGUCCUGUAAGCUGAUUGAUAUUGUUGGUUUCUUCUGCAGGAUUACGUUCCAAAAGAAGCGUUUCUGGUUUUGAACCUCUCGUCGCCAGACUUCAAGCUAUACAAUCAAUUUACAAACUAGACAAAAAAUGCCUCACAUGUAUCCAGCUUAAGCUUUUGGACAAAUAUAUAAGAUCCCCUUAAUUAAGCGGCAAUAAUGGGUUGGGGUUGGGCAGCUUGGCUUCAAUCCUGAUGUCCUCCAUUCUUCUUCUCCUUGCUGCAUUUCUUCAUGGUUCUCUGUAUAUAAUAGAGAACCAUUUUGUUGUUUUUCUAGAUCUUGCAGUUGAAGUCGACGUUGGUUCUUCUUCUCCUCCAUCAGCCACACAAGUGAUGUCAUCCUGGCCAAGAGACGACCCAUUCUCAGAUAAGGUAGAAUUAACAGAUGAUGAUGAGACUUUCCACCAAGGUCGGACAUAAGCUCUUCGGAUUCAUCAUUACCAGUGUAACUGCAACUGCAAGAAAUAAUCGAAGUUUUUGCAAGAAAAGCAAGGAUUCCAUUACAAAUAAGAAACAUUAGGUUGUUGGGCUACUUGCAAAUUUGCAAGUGGAACUGGUUCCUCAGCUUGAAAAUGUGGCUCCAUCUUCAUCUCGUCAACAACCACCCAAAAAUUCACUGGCUGCUACUGUUGUUGAAAGUACCACGAAGCAAUCACUUGCUCUAGUUCCAAAGGAUGUAUCAAAGCUAGCACAGAGGUUUUUUCAUUUGUUCAAUCCAGCAUUAUUUCCUUAUAGACCACCCACAGGACCAGUCGCGAACCAGAUUCUUUUCACUGAUGCAGAAGACGAGUGAGUUGCACGCUUUCUCCUUCAUUCUUGAGUUGGUGGCUUAUCCUGAUUUGUUUUUGUAGUCAGACUUUGGAAAUUGUGAUUAAUAUCAAUCUAUAUUAUUCGUUUAUUAUAGUUUUUGGGUUCAAGUGUUUUAUAUUGGAACUGCAACACAGAUUAUUAGCAUCGGAGAUGAUGGAAUAUAAUACAGAUUCGAAGGCAAUUCAACAACGUUUUCUUCCUUGCAAAACUAAGCACCAGGUAAUUUUUUCUAGACUAUGUACCAGGUAAAACAUUGUGUUGGCUGCCGAACUGCUCAUAUUAGAGAAAAGGGUGUGGCUAGACUUCAAGUCAGAUUCCGUUCUAGACUUAAAUCAUUGCUACUUAUAUCCUUUGCUUCCUAAAUAUUGAUGAAUGUAUUGAGGCUUAGGAAUUUUCUGAGCUUUUGGAAUAAAAAGUAAUUGCAGUGUAAGAAACACAAGGUUUUGGGUUCGGGCUGUGAUUGUAAAAGAAAUAGGAGGUUCGGAAGAUUUGUUUCUAAAAGUUACAUCAAAGUGGAUCAUAGUCUUUUAAGUUUGUCGGUUUAGCUGAGCCUGGACUACAAAAUUAUUAAAGAUGGGGAUUUUUAUUUUAAGUUCGGUAUUUGAUGCAGGACUGCCAAGCUGAAAAGUCUGGUCGAGAGAAGAGCGCAGGUGGUUUGACCGACAAUAAUGCAGGUGGAACUUAUGUUCAUGAGGCCUGGCCUUUUUAGCAGAUUGGAUACGGGGUAUUUCCUGUGUGGUGCUAUCCAUGAAUGGGUACAUGUUUUUGGGGUUAAGGAUGCUACUCGAUGGUCAAUCUUAAAGCACCUGGUGUUAGACAUUUUGCAUCCAGUACCACACAAGCGAAUCAUUCUGUUUCUCAACUCUGUUAUCAGCCGUAUCGAGCCCGUAUAACUAAUGGUGCGCUAGCUUAACUCUGUUAUCGGCCGUAUCGAGCCCGUAGAACUAAUGGUGCACUAGUUAAGCUAGCGCCGGAAUUGCCUGCUAUGAAACUUCCACCAGUUGUUGGUGUAGUCUCACAAUCUGCCUCCAGAGGCUUUUUACGUGGGACAUCAACAUCAUCCACAGUUUCAACUUCCGGAGGUGGUAGUGGUGCUUGCUGCAACACACGAUCUAUUUUCUCAACUUUCUAAAGUUGGAAGGUCCAGAAGAUUCUAGAAUUAUCAAGGAUAAAUGUGCAGGAGAAGGAAUAGAUGUUGAUUGUGAUCUUCAGAUGAAUGGGAAGCUAAAGACCUGUACAAUGGCAUAGGCGCAUCGCUCACAUCGUCUUGAAUUCGUAAAAUAAUGUUCAGCUCUUGCAUGAUCAGUUUUCGAAUGCCAUACGAUUGUAGUUUGUUUUUCAAGUUUACUCUCGGUUUUUCACACUUGUGCAACUACUAGUUAUUUGAGUACCAAUGGAUCUUUGGGAACUAAAUCCUACUUGCUAUUCAAUCGUACAGUACAUCGCUCAAGAUCUUUGUUUUUUUCUCCAAUAUAUGUAUCCACACUAAGAAUGAAACCAUGCGCAACUUAAGUGACAAAUUAAAAAAGCAUCCAAUCGUUUUAAAUCAUAAUAUAUAAAUUGUUGUGCUUGAAUUGAAAAUCAGACUUUCAAACCACCAUAAUAACAAAAUCUGUUCUAUUCCAUAAACCAGACAUAUAACAAAUCUAUUCAAACUACCAUAAUAACAAAAUCUGUUCCAUAAAUCAGACAUAAUAAAUCUAUCUACUCAGCCAUCCAAAUCUAUUCUAGUCAAUCAUCCAAGCUUGGUCGACCAUCUUCCAACUCGAAAUCUCUCUCCUCGUGGCAAAUCAGCUACCUCCAUCACUUUAAGCCCUUCAACUUGACAAAAUUCAACUGAGGAUGUACACAAGAAUUGCAUCCGCAGUUGAAUUUUGUCAAGUUGAGUGUACUCUCAAAUAGUAUUUAGGUCGUUUUAUAAUCAUAUUCGAAUUGCAGAAUCCAACUGCAAUUAUACCAGAGAUUCGCCAUGUUUUGAAGAGGGUUCUAGAUAUGUUUUUGAAAUACCAUUCUGAUAACAAAUUUAGACAAAUCCACCUAGAAAAUUUGUAUUGGACGGGUAGGAAGGUGGUUGGUAUUAUGUUUAGGAAGGAGCCAAGGAGAGUGAUUUGGAUGCUCUAAAAGUGACGGUAACUAAAAUGUUCGAUGGAACUCUCCCCACUUGUCUUAAGGAACUGUUGACUCAAAUUGAUGAGAAUUCAUUGUGAGUAUACGUAUAAUUCUUAUGUAGGCUUUGACUAAUUUAGUUUCUCGUUUUUUUAGGCCGUUGCAAUACCUGAGAUCUCAAGAAAGGAUAAGCUACCGGACCUAUGUUGUUCGCAACAUAUUGGAAUGCUCAGUAACGUCGGUAAAUAUAGGCAAAUUGGAUAACUAUUGGAAGAAUGAUCCAAUAUGUCAGCUUGUUCAACCUGUCGCAUGGAAAAACUUGUUAGGUGGAACCUAUGAGAGUAAUGCUAACUGUUGGAACAGGCAGUCGGAGGAUCAUAUCCCGUAUCUUAUAAUGGCGAGGAAUAUUGGGGAGCAUCAUUUGUCUGCAAGUAAUAUUGAUGAAAAUUGUGCUCCCCAAUAUUCCUCGCCAUUAUAAGAUACUGCCAUUAUAAGAUACUGGAUAGGAUACUCCAACUGCCUAUUCCAACCGUUAGCAUUACUCCCAUAGGUUCCACCUAACAAGUUUUUCCAUGCGACAGGUUGAACAAGCUGACAAAUUGGAUUAUUCUUCCAAUAGUUAUCCAAUUUGCCUAUAUUUACCGACGUUACUGAGCCUUCCAAUAUGUUGAGAACAACAUAGGUCCGGUAGCUUAUACUUUCUUGAGAUCACCGGUAUUGGGACGGCCUAAAAAAACGAGAAACUAAAUCAAUCAAAGCCUACAAAAAUAGAUAAAUCACAUAAGAAUUAUAUGUAUACUCACAAUGAAUUCUCAUCAAUUUGAGUCAGCACUUCCUUAAGACAAGUGGGGAGAGUUCCAUCGAACAUUUUAAUUACUGUUGCUUUUAGAGCAUCCAAAUCACUCUCCUUGGCACUUGGCUCCUUCCUAAACAUAACACCAACCAUCUUCCUACCAGUCCAAUACAAAUUUUCUAGGCGGAUUUGUCUAAAUUUGUUAUCAGAAUGGUAUUUCAAAAAAAUAUUCAGAACCCCCUUCAAAACAUGGCGAAUCUCUGGUAUAAUUGCAGUUGGAUUCUGCAAUUCGAAUUUGAUUGGAAAACGACCUAAAUACUAUUUGAGAGUACACUCUGCCCUAAAAAAUAAAGUUGACCCAUGCUCCCUACUGUGAACAGGAAAUUGGAUUCUAAGACAAUUCUCAGAUAGAAAAUGUACAGAAUCAGACUUCCAGUGGAUAACAUCUAAUAUGUUAGAGACGUUAAAGAUUGACAUUGGUUUGCCAUGAAGUCAUUCCAUUGAAGACGGUGUGACUCGAGGUUGAGUGCUUGUUCAAUGGAAUAGGAGAAGAAAAAUCGCUCGGUGGAGGCAAAAUUGGUAAUACACCGAACUGCAGGGGGAAUGUACAUAAAAAAUAUAAAAUUUUCAAAAUAUAAAAGUUUCACAUAAAUGAUUGAUUAGGGUUCAUAGAAAAGUUAAAAUUGAUACCUUGGGGUAGGGCUGGGAGUUGCGGUAGGGUUGGGGUUGGGACUCCGGAUGCAAAAUGGCCAGGACAAGCAACAGCAACAAGCAUCCUCUGCUUCAACAUCAAGAAUCCAUUUCCAACAUAGCCUGUUUUGAACUGCCAUGAUGGAUCCGAACGAAAAUGGAGCUGAGGUUUCAUCUUUUUUUUAUGCCAGAAAAAGAAAUUGAAACCUAAAUGGUUUAACCGCAUCAGAUUGCAAUCAUCUGCACGAACACGAACAUAAUUAAUUAUUUAUAAUUCGAAAAAAAGAAAUUAAAGUAACUCAUAAAACAGAAAGACAAGAGAAGAAAAGAGUAUAUUUGUACCUAGCCGAAAUUGAUUUAAUAAAUCAAUAUAAUUUCGAAUCCAAUCGAUCCAAGGUGAAGGAUAUUCGUCAACCAUUAUGAUGAUGUUGGGGAUGAAAGUUGAGGGAUUUGAUAAGUGGAACACCUUAUAAAACAUUAGGAAGGUUUCAGGGAAGAAAUCAGAGAGUUCCAAGUUUGGGUUUGGCUUUUUGGGGGUUGGUCUGGAUUUAACUAGGAGGAGAGGGCAUAAGCGAAAGAAACGGUUCGCAAGGGAAGAAAUCAGAGAGUUUCAAACUACGAAGAGAGGGCAUAAGCGAAAGAACGGCUGCAGAGCUUGCAAACAAGAGCACCUUUGUAUAAUCUGAGUUUCAGAAGGCUAUAUAUCCCCACCCAACCCUAGGCCCUUUGUAUAUAGCUUUAGUGGAAGACAGCACAUCACCCAAUUACACGUUUAACCUUCUAUUUACCCGUUAUUCCGAGGGCAAUAUGGGAACACAAAUUAACACGUUUAAAAAGGCAUUUAAUUGAGAGAUCGUCAUCUCCACCUAUACUUCAAAGUUCACAAAAGUCACUCAUUUCUUUUUAGAAUAAAAUAAUAUUGUUAGAAAAGAAUAAAAUAAAAUAAAUCAUUUGGGUUUUCUCAACUACGUCACAUCCUACUAUUGCCAGAGCAAUACCAAUUACUUAACAUUUUAAAUCAUUUGGUUUUGGGUCCCACGUGACCACUACUCUUGCCCGUUUAUUUUCACUCCUCCCCUCAGCUGACACUCAUCAGCUAUCUCACCCUCAUUCUCUAGGAUAUCGUUCGGUAUGCAGACGAAACGAAACAGAAAAGGAGUAAAGAUAUCAUCGAAUAGAAACAAGGAGAAAGAAGAAGGAGAUGAAGAUGUUAUAAUUUUAUGUUCUACGGAUGUGGAAUGAGUCGUUCCAGAAGAUAAGGCAGAAGCACUCCGUUAUGUCGCGUCCCACGUAUCAAAUGGUAGGGUGCGUUUGGUACGCAGACGGGACGGAACGGGACGGGACGGGACGGGACGGAACAGAACGAAGGUGUAAUUUUUUAAAAAGGCAUGGGGUAUAUUUGUCUUAAAAUGGUAAAACAUUGUGUUCCACAGACGUGGAACAAACCCGUUCCAGGGGGUGGAGGUGGGACGCAAAAACACCCAAAAUCUGUCCCGUGGAACAGCCCGUUCCAUCCAUUUUUGGCGCACCAAACGCGGGACGGAACGCCUUGUCCCGUUCCGUCCCGUCCUGUCCCACGUACCAAACGCACCCUAGAAGCACUCCGUCUCUUCCCCCAACAAAACACACACACACACACACACUCUCUCUCUUUUCUUUCCCUCUCCGUACGUGCCCUUAAUUUUAAUUUGAAGUUGACAAAUCUAUCCAUUAAUUUCGUGUUUACCCUUAAUUUUACAAAUGGGGUGUGAUAUCCACACACCCAUUUUUACUUCUCACACACCCUUUUAAUUUUCGGCCGUCGGAUCAGAUGAAAUGAAGAAGAUCUAACGGAUAGAAAUUAACAAGGGUGUGUGAGAAGUGAAAAUGGGUGUGUGGAUAGCACACCCCUUACAAAUUGGCCAUUAAUUUCGUAAUUAUCCUUAAGUUUACAAAUCGACCAUUAAUUUCGCCCUCAUCAUUUGUUGAUUUCCUUCCUCAAUUCUCUCUGAUCAACCCCCUGUUCUUGGCAGGUCCCCUCCCUCACCCCCCCCCCCCCCCCCCAUUUUUCUACAGAGAGACGUCGUGUGAGAGGAAGAGAGUAGUGGUAAUGACGGCACCAGAUUGAAAUGAUGAAUCUGUUAGGUUAGAUGAAUAUGUGGGGUUUUUUAAAAGGAAAACUAACGAAAAUUUCAUAAAAACUUCAUUUUUAACAAAAAAUUCUUUUUAAAGGUAUAGUAAAUAAUGAUGGUUAAAAGUAAAAAUGUGGUUUUUCGUUAAAAGUGAACAGUAUCAUGAGUGUUUUGUUAAAACUCUCUUUUUCAAAUCACAAAUAAUAUUAUUUUAAUGACUAUAUGCCCACAGUCCAUCUUAUGUUCAAAAUUUCUAGACACAUGCAUGGAAUUGGUCUGCACGAAGACCAUCAGACGGCAAAAGUUGAAUUGAGUCAGCUGUCACCAAUUUUCAAGGUGCAAAGUUAUCAUUUUUGCCCUCAAUUUUGAAACAUGCAUAGUUCGUUACAAAUCGGAAAUGAGUUUCGUCUGCUGUCACGUAUUUAUAAAAAUAAGUACCAUUCGAAAAUAAUAAAAUAAAACUGAAAAAGUGAAAGGAAAAUUGAGGUUCACGUAGAAGACUUACGUGGCAUCACAGGAGUAUUUUGAUAAUUUCAUUAUUACUGAGAAUAAAAUACAAUAAAUCUCGGUACAGGAUGUCACAUAUCAAAAUUUAAAUAUUUUUUUUAAAUUAAAAUGUUCAUUGAAAACAAAUUAAGAUAAUCUACAUAAAUUUUAUUUUCAAAAAAGUUACCCAAAAAAAAUUUAGGUUAAAAUUAUUAUUUAAUAAUUUUGGUCUAAAAUUUUAAGCCAUAAGAGUUGGAGGAGAAAAAUAAUUUCUGAGUUAUGAUUUAAAAUAUUUUGGCUUAAAUUUUAAACUUUAUCCCCAAAGGUUGGAGAUAGUCUUGGGACUUUUACAGUCAGCCAAACAAUUGCAAAACUUCACCAAUCUUCCAAUCUAUGCACAAGUUCACGUAAUGCAAAUUCAAAAUCUACCAUUUAGCUACUUAGUACUACAGUAUAAUGAUAUUUAUUUUCAAUAGCCUAUUUAUUUUGAAGUCUCUCUCCUAAAAAGCUAUCUCUCUCCCAGCAAACCCUAGACGUCAACCCGUUCGCCGCCGGCCUCUGGCUAUGGCUGGGGGCCGGUGGCAACCUCUCAUCUCCCUUUCCUAGCUCAUCAUCCCUUUCUCCUUCCCCUAUUCCCCAUCUCAGCCAUCAUCCACCCCUCGCCAUUCUCGUUUUUCUUCCCACCUCCUCGCCGACCCAUCAUUCCCGACCUUUCCCUUUCUCCUCUCCCCUUCCUUGCUUCUCUCCCACCAUUUUGGGUGCAGAUUUCCAUGGAUCUAUGCCCUAUACCAUGACCUGGGCCAUGCCCUUUCAAGAUUCUCUUCGAUUUGGCGCUUGUUUUCCUUGUGUGGGGUUUAGAUAUAUGCUGCAGGUGGCUUGGACCCCCUCGUCAACUCGGUUUCAUGGUGGUGGCUCCCUCCUCGACGGCUUCGGUGCUCUCAGCUCUGGAGGAUCGGCUUGGUAUGGGAGCUUUGUAAUACCCUGAAAAUUUUAAAUAUAUGAAAAUGUGGAGAAAAUCGAAAAUAAAUCGAUUUAUGAUUAUGAAGAAUUAAAUCGAGAAUAUUAUUGAACUUUUAUAUGAUUUUUCAAGAAAUUAUAAUAAUUCGUGUAAGUUUAGUUUUAAAUUAAACUAGUUACGAGGUUUAAAGUUUGGACCUUAAUUAUUUAAAAUACGUAGACCUUUUAAGGUCAAAAAUUAUAUUUUUGAAUAGAGCUCGACCUCACGAACGCGUAGGCGCAAACCGUUCGUGAAACGGAGUUAGAACGAAGAAGUUAUUAACGUUUAAAGUUAGGGGCAUUUUAGUAAAAUGGUUAAGUUCAAGAUAAUUCCAGAUUUUUGAAGAAAAAUCUGGAAGGCCACGUGUGUGGCCGAGAUUUAAAGACAUAAAUGAUGGGCGGUGUAGAGGGGAAAUAAAGGAGAGAAAUGAGGGAGAGAGGAACCAAUCAGAAAAAAAAGGGAUGAGAGGUGACCAAUGAGGGAGGAGAGAAAUGAGGAGAAAUGAGAGAAGAGAGACACGGGGGAUCGGGACCCGGGUCUUGGUGACCCGACCUGGUCGGCAUCAUACACUUUUCCGGUGGAUUUUCACCCCUUUUUCCGGUGAAAUGCAUCAAACCACCCUUUGGAAACCCCUCAACGAUCUUCCCUCUUCCUAUUGCAUCCCAAAAAUCAUAAAAUUUGGUCUUGAAAUUUAAAGAAAGAACACUCGGUGCCGCGACUUUCCUUGUUCGAAAUCCAUCAAAAUCUGAAAUGUUUUGGUUCAAUUACAACCACCAUUAGACUCCCCUUAAGAGCUGGAACAAAGCCCAUUCAUUGGUUGGGGCGUCGGAGUUGCUAUGGAGUCGAAUUGAGGACACCCAAAUCUUAGGGUCCCGACGGGUUUUGACGAAAUUGGAGCCUUUCCAGGGCAAAUUGGCCUUGGUUGCAGGUAUGAAAGUUUCUCUACUCAUUGAGAUCUUCAUUUCUGUAAUUUUUGAGAAUUUUUAAAAAUAAUUAAAUUUUUCGGCGAACCGGGGCAGCCGACCGCCACCGCGGCGAUGGGUGCGGUGGCUCACAGCCAGGGAGCCUACAAGUGUGUUUUAUGCGAAUUUUGUUAUUCUAAUUAUGUUUUUUUGAUUUAAUUGAUGUGGUUUGAACAUUACUACGUUUUUGGUAUAUGUUGGAUUAAAGGAAUAUUUUCGGGUUUGGUUAAAAUUUUGAAGUUUUGAACUAUGAAAGGCUUGAUCCCUGUUGAGGGUACGUAGGCAGUCUAACGAGACGUUAGAUGCAGCCAUAAAAUAAAAGGAAAACUAAUGAAAAUGACUUGAAAACUUUGAGUUUUAAUGAUAAAGACAAAAUAAAGGGUAAAGUGAAUAGUACCAGGAUUGACUUUUUAGUGUAAAAAUGUGGUUUUUCGUUAAAGUGAACAGUACCGGGUGCUUUUCGUUAAAGUUCCCUAAAAUAAAUGUGUUUAAAUAUUCGAGAAUUAGUAUAUAGAUGGAAAUUGAUCCAAGAGAAGAAAAUAAAUUAGCUAUGUUUUUAGGUUGGGCCUACCAUACUUAUUUUCCCGAAAUAUACAAAUAUAUCGGGGCAGGGGCGUUACAAGCUUGGUGUGUUUGUCUCGGUACGGCUCGGCUCGACUUAAGCGUGGACGCCGGCGUCCCACUGUCCAUAUUUUGGAGGAGGCCUAGGCCUGGGUGCCUCGUUCCCCCUGUUUUUUAGUUGUACAUUGGAUCCUUCUAGGUGUAGUUUAGUUCCUCUCGCCCUUGUGCACCGCGGUGACGCUGAUUUUUGGCUAAUUUGGUCUUUGCCUUUGUGCGUUGUGUAUUGUGAGUCUCGUCUGCUAACGGUGACUUUUAAGUGAUCUCGCACUUUCGCAAUGACUUUUUGUAGCCUCGCUAUUCAACGAUAACCGUUGUGUCUGCUGAUAUCUCUCUGGUGCAUCUAUCGUUUAGUGACAGAUAUGUACUGGUAGAUUUGUGCGCUUGGCGACUGUGUGGUUGAGCUUGUGGGUGUCUACUAGGGGUUUAAUGUUAUUUGUUUGUUUUUGUGCAAAUUCAUUACAGAUCAAUUUAUUGGUCACUGGAAUUAUGUACCCAAUGACACUUUGUAAUUGUUUGGUGUUGAUUAAUGAAAUACUAUGCUAUCGUUUAUUGUAAAAAAAAAAAAAAACCCCUAACCCUAGCCCUAUCCUCUUUUGAGCUGGUGGUCUGUGUCAAUCCGUAUGCGGACAUGGGUAAGUGGUGACCAAAACAAUGAUGCCCUGAGAUCCGUUUGCUACUCGAACGAUACAUAUGUAUGUAUGUAUGGAACAUUCGUGAUAACUAACAUAUGGUCCUAUCCUAAAGCUAAAAGUAUCCGCUAAUCAAGGGUUAAUAUAAAUUAUUGAGGCAAAACUUCCUUUUACGACACAUGAUAACAAUCUCGCUCAUUGAUGAAUUCAUGCUUCCAACACUGGGGUCUCAAUAUAAAAAGAUAAAAAGACAAAAUUAGACAAAAUUAACAUUGAAAUAUUCGGUAUCUUUGUAAGACCAUGAUUUUCAUCUAUAAUAUUGUUCCAUACUUUAAUGAAACCAAGAAAUAUCAAUUAACAAAGAAGGGAAAUAUAUACAAAUUAAAAGAAGGGAAAUAUAUACAAAUUAACAACCAACAAAUGGUUUAUUUAUAGGGAACUUUAACGAAAAGCACCCGGUACUGUUCACUUUAACGAAAAACCACAUUUUUACACUAAAAAGUCAAUCCUGGUACUAUUCACUUUACCCUUUAUUUUGUCCUUAUCAUUAAAACUCAAAGUUUUCAAGCCCUUUUCAUUAGUUUUCCUUUAUUUAUAAUAUACCCUACUCAUCUUUCUUAAUGACAGAAAGAGUACAAAAUUGUCACGCAUUCCAAAUUUAAUCAUAUUUUAUUUUUUAAUAUUAGAAAGUUACAAAAGUACUUUUGACGGACUAAGUGGAAAUCUUAUGUUAAUGUCCUAAUGUGAACAUUUGAGUCCUUGUUACACUUUGCUCUCUUUCUCGUCGUUCUAGACGGUAUGUAUGUGUUCUCAUGAAUAUAAGAGCACGAACGAUGCAUAAAUCAAAUAAUUUUGACAACAACAAAUACAAAAUCACUGAUUGACCUCUCCGUUUAUCCCCCACCCCCCUCUCUCUCUCAUUCGACAAAAAUAUCCAUCAUCCUCUUUUCAAAAUUGCAAUUAUAUAACUAAAAAUAAUAUAUAAAUAAAAACAGAAAAUAUGAACCAAAGAUUGACAAGGGAAACUAAAAUUUAAAAUAAUAUAUAACUAAAAAUAAUAUCUGUCUCGUUCUAAGAGGACCCUACCCCUUCAACUUGUGCAACGGCAAGGUAUGAAUUCUGUUAAUCUCUUUCUGAAUCAAACCAACCCGAUUUUACGUUUUCUCUUGGUCUAGCUCACCUAUGAUUUUGCUGCAUUCGGUCAUUUUGUUGGAUCAUUUCUUAGUUCACUGAAUAGCCCAUGUUUUGGUUUGAUCAGUUUUUGUGAUUAGUUAUUGUUUCUGAUUCAUAUUUUCUCAGAACAACUGUGAUUCUUUGUUGUUAUGCUUGCUGGGUGUUAAUCAAUUUGUUUGAUUUUCAAUUGAUUAAUCUGUUGUUGAUAUCCAUUUUUGAGCUUAAUCGAUGUUUUCUAAUUGAUUAUGGUUUCUCACUGCCUUCCAGUCUUCUUGGCCAAUGUAAGUGAAUCGAAUGGUAAACGCCACUUAUUUUAUCGUAAGAUGUCGGCAUUUUACUAAGAGUCAUAUAGUGUUUCGACGGAGCACUUCGAGGUAAAAAAGUUUCUGCGUUCAACCUCUCUAACAAUGCAGAUAUAGAAAAUUGGAUAAGUGACAAUCAGCAACGAUUCUAAACAGAUAGUGGCAUACGAGUUGAUAUGAUUGGUUAAAAAUCAUAUCGAAAAUCUAUCCACAAAAUUCUUAUAGAAUCAUGAUACGUGUCGCUACGGCAUUUGUUAAAAAUCUACCCAUAAAAAUUGUACUUUCGAUUAUCUUUGAGUUGCUCUUAUAAAUUAUAAUACAUCAUAUCUCCUAUUACACGUUUGAGCCUAUCAUGCCUGCAUCUAGAGGUGGCAAAUCAACUCAUUGAGUUGUUAAUGUGUACUAAUUAAGAUCCGUUUAAUUUGAUAUCACAAUAAUAUAGAUGUGAAAUUGAUUGUAGUGGUUAAUGGGCACUCAUUAACAACUUAAUAGGUCGAUUUACUACCUCUACCUGCAUUUAUAUCAUUUGUUUCGAGGUUAAAUUGGAAACACGAAUUAGUUCAUCUCUAGCCUCCAAUUGCAAGAUGACAUGUUUAAGGAGGCAUUUAAUUGAGAGACCGUCAUCCCAAACUUUCAUGUUGUUCCCAUUUUAACCCUCCCACUCCAAGCACUAAAUAUCAUAUUUAUUAGUAUUAAAUAUGUUAUUUAUUCUCUAUUUUAUUUUUUAAGAAGAUAUUAUUCAUUAUUCGUGAGUGAACUAAGUAAUGAAUAUAUCAACCACAUUUUAUUACAAUGACUUAUAUUUGAAAGUUAUAUGUACUCGUCAGAGUUGGCGUUAUUUGUUGUCAAAGAAUGUCCUCGUGAUCAUUAUAUUCAAGGCUGUGUGCAUAGAUGUUUUCAUUAAGAAUGAAGUUUCUCUUGCUUUGAAAUACUAUGUCAAUCAUCUUGAGUUUUUGUGAAGAUGAUUUCAAGACUUAUGUGUUCCUUUACUUAUCAUUGGACUUGUCUCGUCCUCAAAUCCACCUUAGGUGUUAGUUCGUUUGGCCAAGUUAGUAUUUUACUUUAUAUUAAAGUUUUUUUGGAUAAAAAAUAUCUUGAAUGUUAUCUCAAAUAUCUUCUUUAACAAUUUUAAUUUAUAAUAAAACCGUUAUGUCUCGUCUCAAAAGAACAAAUUAUUGAACGUCUAAAAUUGUCCAAUUUGGUGUUGUAUUAGAUAAACCGUAAUAUUCUUCGGUGUAAUUAGGAUUGAUUAAUGAAUUUGAUAAGUAAAAAAAAAGGGUAUUUUCGACAGCACAACUACAGUGCCCGCCUAAUUUGCCAAUCUCCCCAGACCCAAAAUUGGAAAAUCCGCAUAGCGCCGAAACGCCGCGUUUAGUACGUUCCAUGGGGGCCGGGCGCAACACACCGCACUGGCCGUUUCAGGUUCUGGCGGGCACCACGAAACGGCAAUUGACGUCGUACCUUCCUUGGCGCCCAAACGGUAAAUCAAUCGUCGUUUUCGGCAUUUGGGGCUUAGGGUUUUUUAGAGGGAGUGAAAUGAAAUUGAAUAAAGUGCAGUCGAUUUCAGAUUUUGAUCCAAAAAUUCGAAGCUGCAUUGGGCUCUGGCGCCUUCUUCUUCUCCUUCCCAAUUACAAUCUUCGUAGCUCUCGCAUUCAGAAUCGAAUUAUUGGCGCCGCAACACUUCCCAUCUGUUUGUUUCUUCUUCCCUUCAAAGGUGAGCGCUUUGCUUUGCGUCCACAUGGUAUCGUAUUUGAGUUUGCUUGUUUUCUUUGAAUUUUGAGUUUUUUUUUUUUAAUGUUGAAGAAUUCGUAUGAGUGACUGUAGCAUUGAGCUGAGUGAUCUGUUUGGAGAGUCAAUGAAUGUAACAUUGUGAUUUUUCAAUUUAAUUUCUAAUAUUCGUAUUUUUGGUCGGUGUGAAAUUCGAACAGUUUCCGCUAUCUGGCAUGGUUAUAUGGUGGCAAAGGUGUUUGAUUGUCGUCACGGAGAUUUGCAGGCCUGUUACGACUUCUAGAUUUGAAUAGAACUUGAAGGGUCAGCUGCAUUGGGUAUUAGUUGUCCAAAAUGUCUUCAUCUCCUGGUGAAAAGCCUUCUCCUGCUACCGAUAGCUUGAGUAAGCGGCAUGAGAGUGUAUUGAGACUUGAGGAGGAUGAGGGUGAAGAUGAGGAUGAAGAAGAAGAUAUUGAUUUCAAUCCUUUUUUAAAAGGAACUCUUUCGCCCGAAGCUUCUUCAAGCCUGAGCUCUGAUGUAGAAGGUUUAGACGGUGGAGUUGUUGACAGCAGCAGAACCACUAUUGAACCUGCCAGGAUUAAUUCUUUGAGAGUGGCUUGUGAGGUGCAAAAGUGUUCUGUUGGGGAUUCUGAGCAUGGGGAGGAAGAAACCUUGAUGCAAACUAAUGUUUCUCCUGACGGCACAUCUGCAAAUGAGUUUGAAAAAACAGUUUCCGGAAAUGCUAACAGUGAAGCUGUUCAAGAAGAGGAUCAUGUCUCAAGCAGUGAAACUGAUGUUAAUGUUGCUAUAGUAGGAGAGUUGACUAACACAGAAGACAUUCCAAAGCCCACUAUGGAUUUAGAUGAUGAGGAUGAGGAUGCUAUUUGUAAACGCACCAGGGCCCGCUACUCAUUAGCAAGUUUCACACUUGAUGAACUCGAGAAUUUUCUUCAAGAAACAGAUGAUGAGGACGACCUCCAAAAUGUUGAUGACGAAGAAGAAUACAGGAAAUUCCUCACUGCUGUUUUACAGGGUGAAGGUGAUGACCAGUCAACUAAAGAAAAUGAAAAUGCUGAUGAUGAAGAUGAGGAUAAUGAUGCAGACUUUGAGAUAGAACUUGAAGAGUUACUUGAGAGUGACGGGGAUGAAAAUUCUAGGGACAACAAAAGUAUAGAUGAGAAUGGGGGAGCUGGAAGACGACCAAAGACUAGGCAGAAUGAGUGUCAAAAAGCACCUGCCCAAUGCAAGAAGAAGAAUUUAGGACAGACAAAAUGGCCGUUGCGCCCCCUUCUACCAGUUAUGCCAAAAGGGACCACUGUCUUGUUUCUCUAAUCAUGCCAGCAGAAAUUUAAUGCUCGGAACAGCUUCAAGCUGUUUGUCUUCCACAGUAGAAGAGCGUUCUAUAAAUGGUUUCACUGCCCACCAGAUAGGCCAGUUGCACUGCUUGAUCCAUGAACAUGUGCAGCUACUUAUUCAAGUAUUUUCUCUGUGUGCCCUUGAUUACUCUCGGCAACAUAUUGCCUCCCAGGUUCAGAAAUUGAUCUCUGAGAUGCUCCAGAAGCGCGACGAAGUACUGACAUGGAAAAAUGUACCUUAUCCUACUGUUUGCUUUUUCCAAUCAGUACCAACUGAAUUCCCUAAUUCCUAUAGGACACAAAGCACCUUGGCAUCAUCCCUCACAUUCGAUGCACGUAAAGAGUGUUCUUCAACUAAUCAGAUGGCAGUUUCCUCAAAUACUUCUCCUUCCAAUGGUAGAUGUGAAUGUGUUCCUAAUGGGCAGGUGGGCAUUUCCCAGAAUGUUGGGGGUUCUUUCUGGGUGCCUUCUAUAAGUGGUCCUGUGCUAUCUGUCUUGGAUGUAGCUCCACUUAGUUUAGUUGGCCGUUACAUGGAUGAAGUCAAUACAGGUAUACCAUGAAGAAAGUCUCAAGUUUUUUUUUCAUGCUUUUGCUUUCAUAUUUGUGUCAAUAAUUUUUCUCUUUAUUUAUCUGCCAAUGAGUUGCGAUUAUUUUCACAGCUGUUCAGAAAAAUCGACGGUGUUACGUGGAAACUAGUUCCGAUACUCGCCUUGAAAAAGAGCCUUUGUUUCCCUUUCCAAACUUUCCAUUAGGUUCUCAGGCCACUUGCGAAUUUGUAAGUGAAACUGGUUCCUCAUCUUCCAAUGUGGCUUCAUCUUCAUCUAGUCAACGACCACCCAAAAAGUCACUGGCUGCUACCAUUGUUGAAAGUACCAAGAAGCAAUCACUUGCUCUAGUUCCAAAGGACAUAUCAAACUUAGCCCAGAGGUUUUUUCCUUUGUUCAAUCCAGCAUUAUUUCCCUAUAAACCACCCACAGGAGCAGUUGCAAACCGGAUUCUUUCCACUGAUGCAGAAGACGAGUGAGUUUCACUCAUUCUCCUUUAUUAUUGAGUUGGUGCCUUAUCCUGAUUUGUUUUUGUUGUCAGAAUUUGGAGAUUGUGAUUGAUAUGAGUCGAUAGUAUUCGUUUAUUAUUGUUUAUUGGUUCAUAUGUUUUAUAUUGGAACUGCAAUACAGAUUAUUGGCAUUGGGGAUGAUGGAGUAUGUUAGGCAGAAAAAUCGCUGCUCAUCAAAAGCACCAGAAAAUCCCAUAAAGGUAUGGAGAAACUAAUGGCUGAAUUUUUUUAUUUAUUAGUAUUACUUUGGUACAUGUGUAUUGUUGGUGGAAUGAGAUGACAAGAUAAAUUAGUAGAAAAUGAUUUCCUGUGACUAUAGUCAUUUAUUAGAAUUCAAUUAAUUGGUAGGCAUGACAAGUCAAAUGCUCGAUCAAACAUCUAAUCAUGUUUUAAUGGUUGAAAAGAAGUUAUGGUUUGGGGGUUUAAUUGUUGACUUUUAGAUCAUAAUGCUGUUGUAUACUUGUGACCCUGUCUUUUGUCAGUAAUUCAUGUAGUUGUCUAUUUCUUCAUGCAGGCAGUGCGGAGGAUGAAAAACUCACCUUUGACUGCAGAGGAGAUAGCAUAUAUUCAGGAGGUAAUGCUUGAUUCGUACAUAUAUGUGUGUAUAAAAGCUUUGAGAGCAUUACUCUCAUGUGUGCAGUGUAUGUAUAUGUAUAUACUAAAUACAUAUGUUGACUUGUUUCAAAUACGGUUCCAAUUGGCAUUCAGUUUUAUCUAUCAGAUUCUCGUUUAGCUAUAUGGUUUAAUGUGACUCCAUACUCAGGGACUUAAGGCUUAUAAAUAUGAUUGGUUGUCCAUAUGGAAAGUCAUUGUCCCACAUAGAGAUCCAUCCUUGUUGCCUCGGCAGUGGCGUAUUGCUAUUGGGACUCAGAAGUCAUAUAAGGUUGAUGAAUCGAAAAAGGAGAAGCGGCGAUUAUAUGAAUCAAAAAGAAGGAAGGACAAAAAUGCAGAUUUGUCAAGUUGGCAAAAUUCAUCCAAGAAAGAGGUAUGAUUUCCUUUGAACUUAGAACAUUGUGUUGGCAAUUCUUUUUGCAUUGAUUUUGGAGUUUUGAGUAAUUCUUUUAUGAUGGAUAUAAGAAUGAAACAUUGUGUUGGCUGUCGAACUGCUCAUAUUAGAGAAAAGGGCAUGGCUAGAGUUAUUGCUAAGUAUAUCCUUUGCUUCUUAAAUAUUGAUGAAUGUAUUGAGGCUUAGGAAUUGUAGGGUAUUUUGACAUUUUUGAACUUUCAGAAUAAAAAGUAAUUACAAAAUGUAAGAAUUAGAACGUUUGGUACAAUUUGCUUCUUAAAGUUACAAUAAAGUGCAUCAUAGAGUCUUUAAGUUUGUCAGUUUCGCAUAGAUGCAUGGUAAAUGUGCGCCAAGUCCAAUUUUACUCAUUUUUCAGAAAUGUAUAAAAGAUUCAUUUGGAACUUUUCUGCACACACCUAUAGUUUAGCUGAGCUUGGAUUAUAGAUGAUUGAAAGCCCAUUAAAUGGAUGGUGAUUUUAUUUAAAGUUUGGUACCGAUGCAGGACUGUCAAGCUGAAAAGUCUGGUGGAGAGAACAGUGCAGAUGGUUUGACCGACAAUAAUGCAGGUGAAACUUAUGUUCAUGAGGCCUUUUUAGCAGAUUGGAGACCAGGUAUUUCCUGUGUAGAAAGAAACCCUAAUAGUGGUACCCUAUCCCGACGUGCUAUCAAUGAAUGGGUAGAUGUUUUUGGGCGUAAUGAAGCUCUUCAAACCCAGACCGCGUCACAGUGUCCGCAUGGUCAAUCUCAAACAACUGGUGUUAGACAUUUUGCAUCCAAUACCACACAAGCGAAUCAUUCUGUUUCUCAACUCUAUUAUCGGCCGUAUCGAGCUCGUAGAACUAAUGGCACACAACUAGUUAAGCUAGCACCGGAAUUGCCUCCUGUGAAUCUUCCACCAUCUGUUCGUGUAGUCUCACAAUCUGCCUUCAGAGGCCCUUUACAUGGGGCAUCUUCCACAGUUUCUGCUUCUGGAGGUGGUAGUGGUGCUGCUGCAACACACAAUCCAUUUUCUCAACUUUCUAAAGUUGGAAGGUUCGGGACCUCUGAUGCCAUAACAGCUACACAGAAUAAAAGUAGUUCUGUGAAAGACACUGUUUCGACGUUGCAUCCAGAAGAUUCUAGAAUCAUGAAGGAUAAAUGUAUAGAGGAAGGAAGAGAUGUUGAUUCUGAUCUUCAGAUACAUCCUCUGCUGUUCCAGGCCCCGGAAGAUGGACGUCUGUCCUAUUUCCCGUUGAACUGCAGCAACAGCAAUUCUAGUCCUUUCAGUUUUCUUUCAGCAAAUCAGCCUCAGCUACAUUUAAGCCUUUUUCAUAAUCCUCAACAAGGAAACCAUGUUGAUGGUUUUGACAAAUCACUGAAGGCACCCAACUCAACAUCUCGUGCCAGUGUCAUUGAUUUCCAUCCACUGAUGCAAAGAACUGAUUAUGUAAGUAGUGCCACAGUAAGAACAUGCUCAACUGUACCCCUUUCUGCUGGUUCAGGGGGAAACCGUUCUCAAGACCAAUAUCCUUCUGAUACUGGUCGGACUCAUUUGUCGGUCAAUGCUGAUCCACAGGCUAUGGGCACUAAUGAGAGAGCUAAUGAACUGGACUUGGAGAUCCACCUAAGUUCUACAUCUAAAAAGGAAAAAGCUUCAAAAAGGAGAGAUGUCACCGUUGAUAAUUCAGUUAAAUCAAGAAUAACGGAGCCAGAAAAGACAACUCAAUGUCCUAAUAGUUCAUUGCUUCGGCAGGCUGAAAGUUCUUCAGCAAGUGGUAGCGAGCUUGUUGUACCAAGUAAUAAUAUUAGCAGGUACAGUGUAGAUGAUACAGGUGACCAGUCCCAACCUGCUAUUCAGAUGGAACAGGAAGAGUUGAUCGACUCUGAUGAAGAAAAUGAAGAAAAUGUUGAGUUUGAGUGUGAGGAGAUGACUGAUUCUGAAGGAGAGGGGGGUUCGGCGUGUGAAGAAAUUGCCGAGAUGCAGAAUAAGGUGACUUUUCUCGUCUUUUUUUCCCAUUCAGUUUUAAGAUUCUAUUGGCUUAAGGGAACCACGUAUUUUUACUUAUGGCCUAAGUUAUUAAUGCUACCAUUCUAGUAAUUUUGCUCGUGGGCCUCCAUCUCUUAUUGUUACGGGUACCCGCCAAUCUUGUUCGGUAAGGGAGUCCUCAUUUGUUCCUUUUUCUGACUUUCCAUUUUCUUGUUUAUAGGAUGUUCCAUCGUUUGCAAUGAAAAGACCUGCAACAGCAGAUCUUGAUGGCAAGGAGUGUGAGCCAAAACCCACUUAUCGUCCUCAGGACAAUAUUCACAGAAUUCCUUACUUGGACGAUGCCAGUAAUUCUUCAUGGGUAAGUUUGGAUUCAUGCGCGCCAGAUCACCCUUCGCACAUUAUGUCCAAGUAUGAUGAAGGUACAAUGGACAGCAGUUUUGCUGCCAAUGACUCGCAGUCGUCUUGGCCUGUUCGCUCUUGUAAGAAGGCAAAACUGAGCACAAGGGGAGGUGCAACGCAGAAACAAGCGGUGGACAUGACGCACCAACUGAGCCUGGGUCCUCCAUCAAAUCCGACGGUGAGCAAACCCAGGAAGCGUGUAUCGGGAUCGAGUACAUGUUUGAACAUAGGAUUGACUGUAGAAAACUCCGGCAGUGAUGGCUAACAUAAAAGAUUUUCAAAUGACUCUGCACCCUUACUAACCCUAGUUUCUAGUUCUAUUACAAGUAGAAAUAGAAUUACAACUCGAAAGGGAAAAGCUAUUAAAAUUACAAGUAGAAAAGGGAAAAACUAUUAAAACUAGAAAAGCUAUUAAAAUCACAACUAGAAAAGGAAUUAAAAGUAGAAAUAGAAUUAUAUUGGGUAAUAUAUUAAGGUGACUAAUUUUAUAGAUAAAAUUUUACAAAAUAAAUGAUAUGAAAAUUGAUAAUUGAAUCAUUACUUAAGCACUAAUUAACGUGCUUAUUCCUAUUGAUGAUACAUCAUUUAGUUUGUAAAUUUUGUUUUACAAAUUUACAACUCACUAUAAUUCUUCACUACUCAUACAGGAAGGUAAGAAAAACUUGCUUUUUUGGAGGGAAUCAAAAUGACGUAAAUCCCCAAUUUUAUGACAUAGGAACAGAUUUUUGCUAUUACAAGUAGAAAUAAGAUUACAACUCGAAAGGGGAAAAGCUAUUAAAAUUACAAGUAGAAAAGGAAAAGCUAUUAAAACUAGAAAAGCUAUUAAAAUUACAACUAGAAAAGGAAUUAAAAGUAGAAAUAGAAUUAUAUUGGGUAAUAUUAAGGUGACUAAUUUUAUAGAUAAAAUUUUAAAAAAUAAAUGAUAUGAAAAUUGAUAAUUGAAUUAUUACUUAAGCACUAAUUAACGUGCUCAUUCCUAUUGAUGAUACAUUAUUUAGUUUGUAAAUUUUGUUUACAAAUUUAAUGCACAUACCAUUAUACGUGAUUCAAUUUGGAGGGGCACGUUUAUGUCCCUUGGAUUUAUUAGAAGAAAAAAAUGCCACGUUGCUUGAUUAUAAUUUAAUUUAGAGGGGCACAUUUAUUGCGGAUGAUACUGAGGGGUUGUAUGGAAGAAAAACACCCCAAAAUUGGAGAUUGAGAGACUACUAGAAGGCGAGUUCAAGAAAAAAAAAAUGGAAAACUAAUGAAAAGAACUUAAAAAUUUUUAGUUUUAAUGAUAAGGACAAAAUAAAAGGUAAAGUGAAUAAUACCAAGAUUGAUUUUUUAGUGUAAAAAUGUGAUUUUUCGUUAAAGUAAACAGUACCGAAUACUUUUUAUUAAAGUUCCUUGAAAAAAAAACAGCAGGAAUCGAGAUCGAGAGAGAAACAUGGCGAGGAAUAGUGUCAGUGGCCUUUGGAUGCGACAGACUUUGCUUGGAAGUGGAAACGGCAUAGGCAAUGGCUCCUUCCAAACCCAAGGUCUCGGUCGUCUUGACAAUCCCAAGUUUUUUCCAAAUUGUAUCCAAACCCUAAAAGCCCUAAAUUGGAUCUCAACCGCACCGCCUCUAUCCCCCUCGAUUCAUAUUAUUUCCACUCCCAAAUCACCCGUCUUUCUCGAUUCCCUGCAUUUUCUGCAACACCGACGACGGCUGUCCUCAGCCCCGGCCCCGGCCCAGGCCCAGUUCCAGUCCCCGUCCCCGUUUCCAGCUCCCCGAGGUAACCCCUUUCUCUUUCUCUUCCGAUGAUGUUGUUGUUGCCACUGAGACUGCUGUGCUAUUUUUAUAGAAAUUAAAUUUCCAAGUCCCGCGGCCAUGGUCAUCUUGCGGGAAGAGGACGAAUAUCGGAGAGCAAUUCGAAAAGUUAAAGGUAUUCCUCAUUUUUCCACUGCAUCGUCAUCUUAUUUAUUAGGCCUUUUUUUGCUUCGGCUGCGUAGCAAAAGGAAGAAUAUCCACCAAAACUACUGGUUAGGUCAAACUAAAAAUUCACUGGCAAUACGCAGAUUCCAGCUCCACAGUUCACUCAACCGAUUCCGGUUUACACAGUCCUAACUUUUGCUUGUAUUCAUUUUCAAACUGCUGUAUUUUUUCCCCUUACAUGUAAUAUUAUACAUGCAGUUUUAAAUAAUCAUUAUUAUUAAUUUUUGAAUUUUGAUAGAUGAACAACUGCCAGCAGUUUUCUACUUUGUUAGGCACGAUGCUCAAAGUUGUAAGUUCUAAUGAACAAUUUUAUGAAUCAAUUUAUUUGUUCUAAACUGCUCCUUUGCAACUUAUAUAUGGACUCUUCUUUUUCAGGCUUUCUUUUUGGAUCUCCAACCACUCGAAAGAUGAGGGAACAAUUCCCACAUGUAACAGUGUAUAAGUUUGUGUCUGAUAUACAGGUAUGGUGUUGUAAUCCGGCCUUCUGUUGCCUUGGAUCCUUUGAUAACUAGUUAAGUCAUAUUCCCAUUUUAAGGUUAAGAAGAAAACAAAGUGUUGUCUUUUUUCAAAUUCUAGUUAUGGAUCUUAAGAUUAAUGAAUUUCUAUGUUGUAGUCGUAACAUUUUAUAACUCUGCAGAACUGGCACCCACUGGCAGGACUGAUGGGUGUUAGCUCUCUGGUAAAUGAUUGUAUCCCCCUCCUUUUUAUUUUUCUUAAAAAAAAUGUGCAUGCUUACUUCGUUAAUAUGAUUGUUCAUCUUGUUUUUCUUAAUAAAUACUUUGGUGUUUAUGUGUCCAUUCUGCUGCAGCCAACAUUCCAUUUCUAUCAAAAUGGGAAAAAGGUGGAUGAGAUUUUUCCCAGUCCCUAUCUAAAUAGGCGGUCAGAUGAAUCUGAGAUUCCCAGCCUCGUGCUAGAUACUUGUGAAAAACUCUACAGGUAGUUCUUUUCUAAAUAACUUCACCGUUGCAUGCUUCUGCUGCAUAAUUGCGAGUGCAGUCUGAUAUUGGUGGCUGCCGGCUGAGGUUUUUGUUUUUCCUUUUCUUUUUUUUAUGGUUCAAGUGAAGUUCCCUCUGAAUGUGCUCCCUAUGUUGAUUUUUUUUUUUCACUGGAAGGUACGUCAUCCAGGUUGAAAAACCUCACCCUAUGGGCUCAUCUGGGAAAGGGAAGGGCAAAAGGAAGAGUACUUAUCAACAACUUGUCGUGCAAGCUAAGACUGAUGCAAACGAAAAUGACAAAGUAGUUGCUUUAGGAGGGGGGAGAGCGGGUGAUGCAUCGACAUCAUCAGAACAGAGAUGGCCGUGUUGAAGCAGUAUAUAGUAGUGGCAGUGCACCUUCACUUGAUAAAGCGAUGAGGGCUGUAUCAGCUAACCCCUAUUGUUAUGAACAUAGCGAUCUGUGGUGGUAUGCAAAAGGGUUAUUGAAAGCUAACCCUCAGAAGAGAGCAACGCUACUGAAGGUGGGGACACGUGAGGUUAGUUGGCUACGAAGUCACAUGUCCGAGGAUUAAGUUGGCCUUGGAUUGGACCGGAUAGGAUGCGCUUAAAAUUUGAUACUCAUUAUAUCUAAAUAGGCCGUCAGAUGAAUCUGAGAUUCCCAACCUCGUGCUAGAUACUUUUGAAAAACUCUACAGG
rnacentral:lncRNA from 1 species